rnacentral:rRNA from 1 species
GACGAACGCUGGCGGCGUGCUUAACACAUGCAAGUCGAACGGAAAGGCCCUGCUUUUGUGGGGUGCUCGAGUGGCGAACGGGUGAGUAACACGUGAGUAACCUGCCCUUGACUUUGGGAUAACUUCAGGAAACUGGGGCUAAUACCGGAUAGGAGCUCCUGCUGCAUGGUGGGGGUUGGAAAGUUUCGGCGGUUGGGGAUGGACUCGCGGCUUAUCAGCUUGUUGGUGGGGUAGUGGCUUACCAAGGCUUUUACGGGUAGCCGGCCUGAGAGGGUGACCGGCCACAUUGGGACUGAGAUACGGCCCAGACGCCUACGGGAGGCAGCAGUGGGGAAUAUUGCACAGUGGGCGGAAGCCUGAUGCAGCAACGCCGCGUGCGGGAUGACGGCCUUCGGGUUGUAAACCGCUUUCGCCUGUGACGAAGCGUGAGUGACGGUAAUGGGUAAAGAAGCACCGGCUAACUACGUG